rnacentral:lncRNA from 1 species
AGACCUUAGUUUUGAAGGAAAGGGAUGUUAGGCAUGCAAGGCUCACUAAGCCCUCUUAGCUAAGCCCAUUUAGCUAAAAGGAUGACAUGCAGUUCUUUCAUAAAUUUAUAAAGUUUGGGAGUUUUAUUUAAAUUAUUUAAAGUUGAUAUGAGAUGAAAAUCCCUAAUUUUAAAUAGGAUAUAACUGGCCAAAGAUAUAUAUAAGAGAAGUGUAACAGCCCUCGCCUGAUCUAUAAAUAAACCAAGUUAGGAAUGCC